rnacentral:rRNA from 1 species
AUGCAGGACAUCUGGCGUCAUAUAUAUUUCCUACUGCCAAUGCAAGAUGCUGCCCGUGCUGCCUGUGUGUCUCACUCCUUUCUCUGCUCCUGGAGAUGCUAUCCCAAUCUUACCUUCACUAAUGAAACAAUGUGCUCCAAAGAAAAGUUAUAUGAGAGAACAGUGGGACCGAAUGUUAUAAGAGACUACAACAAGAAUAUUGACCGUGUUGUAACAUACCACUCAGGCGCUGGGGUGAGGAAAUUCAGGCUUCAAUACUAUGUUAUUCCUGAUGAUGCAGAACCGUAUCAUCAUCUCACCAGUUGGCUCCAGAUUGCGGUUACACCAGGGAUUGAAGAACUUGAUCUUGUAGUAUGGAAAAGAAGGGAAAAUACAAUGUUUAACUUUCCAUGCACGCUUCUAUCUGACACGUGUCAAGGCUCGAUUCGGCAUCUUUACCUUGGCAAUUUGGGCUUGCAUCCCACAUUUCAACUUGGUUUGAGAACCCUGAAAACGCUGCAUCUGAGUGAGGUGCAUAUUACGGCGGAUGAGUUAGGGUGCCUUCUAUCCAAUUCCUUUGCUUUGGCAUACUUGAGACUUCAAUAUUGUUAUGACAUCCUUUGCCUAGAGAUACCUCGUUUGCUGCAGCGGCUCAGGUUCCUGGAGGUGAUUGAAUGUAGUCUUCAAGUGUUAGAGAUCAAUGCUCCAAAUAUUUCCAGAUUCCGCUUAAUGGGUCAUAAUGUGCAACUCUCGCUUGGAAAGUCGUGGAAAAUGAAGAACCUGAUGUUGAACAAUAGGUGCGCCAUCAGUUAUGCUCUUGACAACCUUCCUUCCUGUGCGCCGAAAGUUGAGACUCUUACCAUACGUUCUGGUUAUGAGAUAAUCAAUGCACCAGUUAUAUCUAGCAAAUUUCUCCGCCUCAAGAUCUUGAAUAUUCUUCUUUUCUCAUGGCAUAAUCACCGGCACUAUGAUUAUUUAUCCUUGGUUUCUUUUUUUGAAGCCUCUACUUCCUUGGAGAAAUUUGCCUUGUAUGUACGGGCUGCGCAGUCCAAGUAUGACCCGUUUGAGGGAGACCCCUCGUCUCUGAGGCGAAUGCCAGAGCACUACCAUGGCAAGCUCAAGAGUGUGGAGAUCACUGGCUUCUACCCCCAAAAGAGCAUGCUUGAGCUAACAUGCCAUAUUCUUGAGAAGACAACAUCACUUCGGCGCCUUACAUUGGACACUUGUCCCGUGAAUUAUCGGUGUUCUAGCAUAUUUCACAGUAAAUGCGCUCCAAUGGAAACUGCGGAUAUAAGGGAGGCUCAUAAAUCAGUCUUGGCUGUGAAAACAUAUAUUGAGGAGAAAGUUCCCUCUGCAGUCAAGUUCAACGUUCUGGAGCCUUGCAGCCGGUGCUAUGUUUUGUGA